rnacentral:lncRNA from 1 species
CUAUAAAGUGCCUGGUGCAAGAUGCACUAAAUAAAUGUUAUUAUAAUUAGUUUUUCCCUCUCCUCCCUUAGGGAGGCCUGGGUCUGGCUCUUUGCUGCCAUCUAGUGGCCCUCAUGUCACCCUUAAUGGGAACCGCAAUUCCAGAAGCUUGGAGCAGAAAGAAUGAAGAUUCAACCUGCAGCUUUACUUUGUGCCCAGCACUCUGGGAGAUAUUAUAUGAGAAUAGAAAAGUGAGUAAGACAGCAUCUAGGAGGUGUUAUGGAAUGGUGGUUAGGAUCAAGGGCUUGAGUCAGACAGCUAGGAUGGAAAUCCUGGCGCUCAGCCACUGAGUAGCUUUGUGGCCUUGGGGCAAGUUAGUUAAUUUCACUGUGCCUCAGUUUCCCCAUCUGUAAAAUGGGUAUAAUAAGAGUACCUACCUCGUAUACGUAGAGUGCCUAGAAUAGUGCCGAGCACAUAAAUGUGUUCGAUAAAUAUACAUUGUUAUUAAUAGCAGGAGCUUGCAGUCUAAAAGGUCAGAUCGAAGAACUCCUGAGUGGGGUUGGCUGAUCCUUGCAGAAACUGGAGUUCAGAGAUGGGAGAGAGCAGGGUGUGGAAGUUCCAGGGAAGAGGUUGCAAUGGAGAGGGGCUGCCCCAUAGAGGAUGGGCAGUGUUUAGAUAAGCAGCUGGACCGAAGGCUGGCCAGCGUUCCAGAUGGGGAAAAGAAGCCAGCUAUCCAGUAUCCUGCCCUCACAGGCCAAGAUUGCCUCUUCUCAUCAAAAAGCAAUUUUAACCAAAAGCCUCUGGACUGCUGCUAGACCUCGUGCCAAGUUGCAUAACUCCACUGUACGUGGGGUCGGCUCUCAUCAGAAGAUGUGCUGUGGAGGAGCUGACCUCAGUAGCCUCGUGGAAGGUCAUGUACUUAGAGCUAAAUUGUUGCUGGGGCUGCUGGGGCCCACAGAGAGCAUGUGUAAUUGUCUGCUCCUGAGUCUGUCUUUCCUCCCAGACUCAGGUCUGUGGGUGGAGACUGUAGCUUCCUUGGUCUGUUACUUUGUGUAAACUAAACACCGCAUCUGGAACAUAGCAGGUGCUCAGUAAACAUUCACUGAAGGAGUGCACGUGUACAAGGCAGCGUGAUCCAUGCUGUGGGGGGUCCAGGCGGUGAGUAAGGGCCCUGAGCCCACGAGUGGAGCCCUUUGCCCUCCUGACGUGUCUACAGCUAGGAGGGAGCAUGGUUGAGAUCGGGACGUGGAAACAGACUGCUCGUCUGACCGUGACUGAGCAGACUGCCUCAGCGGCCACCAGCGAACUUCCAUGGAGUGGGAUGAGAACCCCACACAGAAGGACCUUAGGGUGCGUGUGCAUGCACGUGUGUGGAUACCAGCCCUGCGCUUUCAGGACUAAAGCCAGUGGAGGAAGGAUCAAGGGGCAGCCAUGGCUCAGGCCGCUCAGAUCGUGUGUGCUUAGUCUGUCACUGGCUUCCUCUCCCCCGCUGUAGGCUUCCGAGGGCAGCGGGCAGGGUGCUCACGGGGCUGGAGGGAGGAGGGCAGGCAGCUCAGAGAAGCAGGGGUGGGGGCAGCAGGGAGCUCCUGAUGGCCCGUGGCGCUGGGCCUGGUGCGAGGCUCUGUCGGUUCAGGGGUGCUCACCUGGGCUGAACCUGCACAGAGUGGGCGUGGGAGAUAGAGCAGCAAUGUGUUUCCCCUCGGGGGCAGGGGUAGCCAGUGCUCGCUGUGUCCGACCUCUUCUUACGUCGUCUGCUAUGUCAGCUCCAGAAAGGAGAACAAGCAGCUUUCCCCCAAAGACCUAAAUUGAUACAGGAGUUGUUCUUAAGAAGCCGAAUUGGCUGCUGCUAAGUUUCGAGAUCUUGUGCAAAUAGCUCACCCUCUCAGACCUUCAUAACCCCGCUUGCGAAAUGGGAAUAAAAUGGCUUUGACUUUAGGUUGCUGUUGGGAG